ensembl:lncRNA
AAACUGCAGGCUGCAGCCCAUUAAAGGUGCUCCGCCCUCACCGUGAAUUCAUCACAGUAGCAUGGCGACUUUUUCAGCCAGCGAAUCACUAAGUGUGCUACAGAGGAAGUGAUGAAGCAGAUGGUCUUAGUCUGUCGUCCAGACGUUUAGUCGACGUCCAGACAAGAUGAAGACCCCAUCUAUCUCUCCACUCCUCGGUGUGUGUGUGCUGCUGCUGUCUGCACCGACUGUUUCUGCAGGUGAGUUGAUGGAAGUGAAAACAAUCAGUGAGACUCCAACAAGAACACAAAUACAUUUACUGUGUGUGUGUGUGUGUGUGUGUGUGUGCUCCAGUGUCUCUGUCUGUCAGUCCAAACCUUCAGCAGUUCUUCAGUGGAUCUUCUUCAGUGUAUCUGAGUUGUGUUGAUGAUGGACAGACAGCUGAUGGAUGGACAGUGAAGAGGACCAGAGGAGGACUCACUGAGGACUGUGGAGCAGCUGCUUCAGAGUUUAGUAGGAUUAACAGUUCCUUCUGUGUUUUCGGUCUCUCCACUGGUGGAAAUUUCCUGUGUGUAAGCUCAUCUGGACAUCAGAGUGAUGAAGUCUCCAUCAGUGUCUCAGGUACAGACAGAUGUUCCAGCUGUGUCUCUGUUUCUGUCUGUCUCUGUGUCACUCUGUUUGUGUCUCUGCUGGACAGAUAAAGAUGUGAUCCUGGAGAUUCCUGCACUUCCUGUCAUGACAGGAAGUGAUGUCACUUUGUACUGUACACCCAAAGAGGGAGAAAGACGAAAAUCUUACUUCUUCAGAGAUGAUGUUAAACUUGGAUCUGGACCUGAAGGAAAGUGGAAUCUCUCUAAAGUCCAGCGGUCUGAUGAAGGUCUCUACUCGUGUCAUACUGAUAUUCAUCCACGUUCUCCUCAGAGCAGACUGAGGGUCAGAGAUCUCUCUCCUGUAGAUCCUCCUCCCACCACAACUUCUCCUCUUCUUCUCACUACUUUCCCUCCCUCCUCUUCCUCUCCACACUCUUCCUCCUCCCUUCCUCUUUAUCUCCUGUUCCUCCCUGCAGUCCUGGUCCUGGUCCUGGUUGGAGGUGUGGUUCUGUGGAGGAAACAGAGAGUAACCAAGACUUCACCUGCUCCUGAAGAAGUGACCUAUGCUGAUAUCAACAUCAGACAGAAGAAGAAGAGGCGAGAGUACCCAGCUGAUCCAGAUGUUGUGUACUCAUCAGUGAGAGCAGGAAAAUGAAGAUAAACAGCUGGAGGAGCUUCACGUCUUUCCAACCUGAAUCUUUUAUUUUGAGUGUAACUCUAUUCUGCUAGAUAUGCUGUUUGCUCUGCUGUGUUUUACCACCUUGCUCGUCUCCUUUAUAGUGUAACUUCUUCCUUUCGGCACAAGUUUAGAUCUAUGAGUACUUGAACAGUGAGCCACAGAGCAUUUUAAAGAGUGCAUAUCUUGAGAAUCCACUUCUAAUUUGUUAUGAGAGUUUUAUCAACUCUGAGGUGUAAAAUUUUAAAAUCUGAAGCUCCUCUGGCAACUGGACCGUCUCCAGGUUUUAAACCACUGAGAGCAUCCUGGCUUUAAGAAAACAGAUGACCAAUAGGACUUGAGCUAAAUAUUCAAGUCACAACCCCUUGCUGAUCAUCUCUUUGUCUGUCAGCGCUAAGCAGAACAUCACAGCGUAGUGUACAGCAGUAUUCAAAAUGUUUUCUCUCAGUUUAACUGCAGGGCUGUGAGCUGCUGUUAUACAUCUGUCUGUAAAGAGGAAUGGAUGCAGCUGUCUUAGUCAUAGCCAUCAAACAGACAACCUGCUGCUACCUCAAUUAACUAAUUAAUUCAGUAUCAGAGUGAUGUGUUGAGCAGGUUUUAUAUGUUCCACAUCCAUGUUUCUUCUUCUCUGUGAUGUAAAUCUAAUCCUUGUAAAGUCAUCUGCAUACCUGUGUGUUUUCUGUGCUUGUUCACAGUCAUGCUUAGAGAAUUUAGAUUGCAAUGCAUCAACAACACCUGCAGUGUUGUUAAUAUGAUGAUUUAGUUAUCUCUUCCUUUGGCAGAAUACAUAAACUAUAAAAUACUUACUUUUUUGUCUAUGUUGUUAUUGAACAAUAGAGAUAAAACAAGAAAGUCGGGAAAAAGAGCAAAGAAAGACCUACUGUAAAAAUGUGGCCUUCGCUACCCCUGAAUUUAGACACAUCCUAUAUAUACUCACACAGACGGGAGGGGAACACAGCUGUGACUAAUCAGACAUGACAACACAGGGAGGACAAAACAGAAAACGGUGGCUGUGUCCAAAUUCAGGGGAAGGACGCCUCAAAUGCUGUAUUUCGAGGCAAUGACGUCACAGCAAUGCGACUAAGGUUGUCCCAAAUCAAAGAGUCCACCAAAUGUGGCAACAAAUGCAUCUUUGUUUCCUCGAAUUUGAAGGAUGGGUUGGGUGUAUCCUUCUUGUCCUACCAUAUCCCAGGAUUCACUGCUGGCGGUAAAGGAGGUUUUUUUCAGACAACGAUGGCAGUUGAAGCAGGAGAGGAAAACACUUUCAAAUUUAACCAUAUGAAAUCUGUUGAUAGUGUGACGUAAAGCAGUUUCCCCCCGGUUCUUUUGUAUUCCUCAGGCCUCCAGAGACUACACCGUCAUUUCAGAAAACUUUUAUUCAUCUUCUGUUACGCAUGCACCUUCCAGAAGGGGAGAUGUACAAGGCCGGUGUCCCUCUGCAGAUCUCAACCUCUUUGUUGGUUACAACCAGUUUUAUAGAUGCAUCCCCAUCGUAAAACCCACUUGGUGUGUCAUAAACUCAAAACAGUGUGUUUGUGUCUGUAUGUUCUAGCAUGUGAGUGCCUGCGUGUGCACGUACUUUUAGACUUAGAGCUUUUUAUUGUCAUUGUGCAGUUUCUUGCACAGUGGAAUUGGGUAGCCGGACCACAAAGGUGCAAAAAUAAUAAUAAGAGAAGCCUAUAUACAACAGGGGGGUAAAUAAAUAGAUCAAUAAAAUAACAUAAAAAGCAAUGUACAUGUAUACAUAUAUGUGAGUGAAACUAUAUACAUGGUGUAUGUGUAGGAAACACUGAAAGAGAAACAUUGUGGGUCUGUAUACAAGGGCAGUGAUAAAAUAUAAUAAACUAUACUUGUAACUGUGUGUGUGCACGUGAGUGUGUGUGCACGUGAGUGUGUGUGCACGUGCCAGUCAUAAAGAGGGCCAUUUCCACUCACACAAGCAACACCAAAUUCUUCUCUUUCCUAUCUCUUCCACACAGUCCUAGCAUCCCCCAACUGUAGCUUCCUGUCUCCUUUUAUGACAGGCAGACCCAGUGUCAAUAAAUUCCUCUGCCUCUACACAAUAACACACACUCUCACACUCUACAGCUAAACCAAAUUAAAAGACACCGACAUUCACAAAUCCGUUCCUAUUUCUCUUAUCUUCAGCUAGACCCUCUCAUCUAAGCAAAUGUAAGCACAUUAUUUUCUAAUUGUGUUUUCUUUUACUCACAGUACAAAGUUAAAUAUUUAUAUUGGUCGUAUUGUUAAAUGGCCUGUAAUUGUAUUAGACUUGUAGUCAAGAUCGCCUAAACUGAGAUCAAGACAAGACCAAGACCAGAGGGUAUCGAGACCAAGACAAAAAAGUCUUUAAACUGCAGCCAGAUGCUGCUUCGUUUAUGGGUGUCAGGCAUAUAUGUGUUUUUGCUUUUGUACUGUUUUUCUCCAUCUCUGUUUUUUACAUAAUGAUAUUAUCCUAUAUCCUCGCAUGUGAUUGGCCACAAUAUGGAGGGAUUGGAGCAUAGCUGAGCCACUGUGUGCGAGCUGAGCAGUGAAAGGAAAUUAAGUGAGGGUAGAAAUGACUGAAAAAUUAAUAGGCUCUGUUUUGAGUUUUGUUUAAAAAAAAAAAGACUUCAUAUAGGAAAAAAAUAUCACAUAUGCAGGACACUGUUAACUAGUUUUUAAUUAAGCAGCAAGGCAGAACAAGGUCAGGGCUGUAUCAAGACACGGGG